GGUGGCUCAGUGGAAGAGCUCUUGCCUUGCAUGCAUGAGGCCCUAGGUUCGAUUCCUUAGUACCA
rnacentral:tRNA from 1 species